AUUGAACGCUGGCGGCAUGCCUUACACAUGCAAGUCGAACGGCAGCACGGGAGCAAUCCUGGUGGCGAGUGGCGAACGGGUGAGUAAUACAUCGGAACGUGCCCAGUAGUGGGGGAUAACCCGGCGAAAGCCGGACUAAUACCGCAUACGACCUACGGGUGAAAGCGGGGGAGUCGCAAGACCUCGCGCUAUCGGAGCGGCCGAUGUCAGAUUAGCUAGUUGGUGGGGUAAAAGCCUACCAAGGCGACGAUCUGUAGCUGGUCUGAGAGGACGACCAGCCACACUGGGACUGAGACACGGCCCAGACUCCUACGGGAGGCAGCAGUGGGGAAUUUUGGACAAUGGGCGCAAGCCUGAUCCAGCCAUGCCGCGUGC
rnacentral:rRNA from 1 species